CAUCAUCCUGGCCGAGGUCUUCCGGCGUCGGGCCGAUGCGUUCGGCCAGUGGAGCCAGCGCGCCCAGAUCGAAGUUGUACACCUCGGCUGCUGCC
rnacentral:tRNA from 1 species